GGCGGCACCGCUGACGCUGCUUCGGGGGGCGGAUUGCAGGCCGGUGAUGAGUACAGGAGGGCGCGGGGGCUGGCAGAGCCUCAGCUGGAUCCAUGCUGGACGCUCCAACAAAAUAGCCCGCUCGGGGGAAAAGACAGCCACGUGGUGAAAGCACCGGAUCCGCAACUGGGUUCCUGUCCUGUCUCCAAGUCACUGUCUCUGGAUGCCUCCGUUUACCAUUGUUAGGAUGGGCAUCCUGCUACUUCCCUACUUUACGCCAUCCAUCUAGUGAGGGUAAAUUACUGCAGCCACAAUUUUCAAAAGUGGCCAGAUGUUGAGAUUUUUGGUUGCUCAGCCUUUGAUCUGGUUCUUCAGAAGUGCUAAAAGGCUCACAACCCCCAGAGGAAGUCAAUGGGAGUGGGGGGUGUUCAGUGCUCAUGUCUGUGCUGAGAUAUUCCAUAUAGAAAGACACUAUAACUUUGAAGUGAUACUAGGGACUUCCCCUUUCUCCAGUCAAUGUUGUGUUGACUGGUGAAUUGUUCAGUGCAGUUCAUUUUCAGGCAGAACUGAAUUUAAGCAUGCAACUACUUGCAUUUCAAUGUGUGUAGUCAUCAGCUAUCAGGAAUACCCAUCACCCACUGCCUGGGGAACAGGUUUCAGAGUGGUAGCAGUGUUAGUCUGUAUCAGCAAAAGUGUUCCUAAAGUAUCUCUGCUUGUAGGUGGAAGCCCUAGGACCCAAUUCAGAAAAGCAGAUGGUGAAAGUGAGAGAGAGAUUUUUAUGCCUGAAUACAGGUUCUUCUACCUCGCUCUAUAACACAGGUUAAUGACUCCCACCAUUCAAGACCCAGAAUCACAGUGAACUUCCUUCCAGCAGAGGGGCCUCAUUGCUUUGCCUGAGAACAGAAUGGAUUACCUUGGGCUACUACAGCUACAAGUACAUUUAACUACCAUCUGUAUAAUUAUUAUGACUCACAUAGUGGCCCUGCUUUGCUGGCAUUCUAGAAUCACUGAGCCUUGACCCUUGUCCCUUGGAAGUGCUCCAACCUGCUUUGCCUCUUCAGUCAAGUCCAUGUCUUCCGCCUCCAGGCCCUGCAGAGACUCCUUUAUGGUGCAGGUAGCCAGCCUGGAACGUGCUGGCGCACACCUUCCUCUGCCACCUCCAAGAGCUCCGAUACAACUGGCAGUUCUUCUACCUCCAUCUGAGGGGUCUCCCAUGAGACCUCUUCAAACUGCUGGUCUUCUACCAAGAUCUCCUCAGGACCUGGAAGCUGGUCUCGGUGACCAGGUCUGCAGCGGCCACUAAGAGGGAAGAUCUCCUCACGGAGCCCGUGCUACACAACCUCGAUCUGUGUGGUUGGUGCAGUCCCACGCAAUAUGCCGGAGGUUGGUCCUGGCUGGUACAACAGGAUCGGAGACCUCCUGGACUACAACUCAAGGGACAGGGUAGACCCCUGGUGCUCCACCGGCACCUGGGGCACUCCAUCCCUCACGUCUUCCAGAGUAUACUCCAGGUGGUGAGGGCAGCCUUACCACCCGCCUCUCAGGCUUUCCUCAAGCAGCUCCUGCAGGAGGGUGCUCCCCAUCCACCCCUGGCCCUGUGGGCCUCACCAUUAGGCCCAACCCCAUGAGCCUCCAGUCUGUCUCUGAACCAUGCCUAGGAAACAUCUGUGAAUGGUCGUACUCCACACCCUUCACUUUCUCACCCUCCUAUGCCACCCCAGCACUAAGUGGUGGAUAUGGCAAAUCUCCACAGGUUUGCAAACCCAGGGGUGAUGUGGAGAUGGUUUUCAUUUGAUCCCACCAAAUUGGAAAAGGGCACAGAGAGAUGCAUAAGAGAUUCUGGUUUGUACCUCUCUCUACUUAAUAAAAUAUCCCUGUUCCCCGCCCCUCCCCCUGAAUAUGUAAAAAGCUACCACAAAGAGAAAUGGAAACUGUAAGCUGUAUGGGCACUGCAUCAGGUCCAAACAUACUCCUUCCUGAACCUGGAUUUCAAUAUUAACUUCAAUAAACAGAUCUCAGCCCAAACCUCCUACUGAGCUUGGCUGCCUCUAGCCCUCAUCCCUGUUUCUCCUUUCUCUUAGAGACACUCUCGACCCUUUAUUCUCCUAGAUUUGACUUAACACAACUCCCUUGAUCUGCCUUCCAGGGCAAGUCAGCAGAAUAGUUCUGUGUCUCUGCUGAGCCCUGGCAUCUGAAACCUUGCCACAGAAACAGUCGUGUGUUGCAAUGGUAAGGGAUGUACCAUAGGAACUCUGAUGUAUAUUUGUGUAAAACACACAAAAAACAGCCCAAGUUUCCUUAGCCAAGCUAAGCAGUGACUGGAGAAGUUUUCCAGUGAAAGGGCUAUUCCUGAAAGACUGUGAGAAAUCUGUUGAGGCACCAAAUGAUCUCUGUAUAUAGGAACCAAUCCUAAAACACCACCAUGCAUAAUGCUUACUACUGUGAGUAAUCUCAUUGAUUUAAGGCAUAGUAAGAGUAGACCUGGGAGGAAAAUGAUCUUCCCAUCAGAAUUUCAGAUUUCAAAAAAAUUUCCUGGCCUCAAAUCAGGACAAAGUCAAAAUUUCAUGAACCUAUAAUCUGAAAAACCUUUUUAAUCAGGUGAAAUCAAAACAUUUCAUUUUGGUUUUGACCUUUUUGACCUUUUAAGUAUAAAUUAACAAAAAUUUUGAAAAAGUCAUGUUGAACCAAAAAAAUGAGAUUUUUCAGUCGAAAUUUGUCAAAGCGGGAUAUUUUGACUAUUUCAAAACUUUUUUCAAUUUUUUUUUCAAAUCAGGGGACUAGUCAAAACUGACCCUUUCCUCUGAACAGUUGUUUUCAGCGAGUAGCCAUUUUCCAAUGACAAAAUGUUUAGUUAGAAAAUUAUUUCCCAACCAGCUCUAGUAGCAAGCACCAUGCUUGUAAAAAGUGUUUUCAGGAUUGGGCCCUUUGCUGAGACCAGAAACCUAGCUGUUAAAGCAAUCUUUCAUGAUAAUUGCUUUCAGUGCCUUUAUGACUCCAGGGAACUUUAGAGUUUAUCAUGCUAAUAAUACUGAAAUUACAGUUGUUUUAUGGGAUGUCAGCUUCCCGAUACAUGGAGAUAAGCAUAAAAAUGGGAUUGAAUGAGAUGUCUGGCAUUAUCUUAAAAGGGCAUAACAUUUAGAUUUAAAAACAAAUAUUUGUCAUAUUAAUGUAUUAUAUCCUUUGCCUAGAAACAUUUUGGAAGACAUUUGUUUUUCGCGUUUGCAACCUAGUUAACUCUUUCAAACAAAAUGCUUAUCAGUCAUUCAUCCUCUGUUGCUGAGGUUUUUUUCUUCUCCAAUCUUCAUCUGGUCUCUUUCAACAUAACCCUGUCACUCAGCCUCUCUUUGACAUCCAGUCCAUCAGUACUGAUGAUAUCUUGUCUGCUGUCAACCUUCUCUUCCCUGUUGUCCAUUGAUAUGGUUAUUGAUUUGUUCUUUCCGUAGCUCACGAAAGCUUAUGCUCAAAUAAAUGUGUUAGUCUCUAAGGUGCCACUAGUACUCCUUUUCUUUUUGCGAAUAUAGACUAACACGGCUGCUACUCUGAA